AUACGUAGGUGGCAAGCGUUAUCCGGAUUUACUGGGCGUAAAGGGAGCGUAGGCGGAUAUUUAAGUGGGAUGUGAAAUACCCGAGCUUAACUUGGGAGCUGCAUUCCAAACUGGAUAUCUAGAGUGCAGGAGAGGAGAAUGGAAUUCCUAGUGUAGCGGUGAAAUGCGUAGAGAUUAGGAAGAACACCAGUGGCGAAGGCGGCUCUCUGGAUUGUAACUGACACUGAGGCACGAAAGCGUGGGGAGC
rnacentral:rRNA from 1 species